rnacentral:rRNA from 1 species
UACGAAGGGGGCUAGCGUUGUUCGGAAUUACUGGGCGUAAAGCGCGCGCAGGCGGCUAUCCAAGUCAGUGGUGAAAGCCCGGAGCUCAACUCCGGAACUGCCAUUGAAACUGUUUAGCUUGAGGACGAGAGAGGUGAGUGGAAUUCCCAGUGUAGAGGUGAAAUUCGUAGAUAUCGGGAGGAACACCGGUGGCGAAGGCGGCGAUCUGGGUAGAUACUGACGCUGAGGUGCGAAAGCGUGGGGAGCAAACAGG